UAAAUUUCUCUUUCCGGGUACGACACCCGGCUUGGUGGAGAACCGGUGACGUCAGCGAGGCGACACAAGCAGAAUGCAAGAAUCUGAAACUGUCGCUGUGUACUAUAAUGGGAUCAGCUGCCCUGGACAGACCCUCCUGUGACGGUUGUUUAUAGGUCACCGUGACGGCUCGCCAGAGGAAUCAGGUGGUGUUCCAAGUCUUUUGCAUUGAUGUGUGUAAAAGACGACAUCCAAAGCUGUGUACUCGGAUGAGACUGUCUCCCAUCGUGUGCACAAAUAGCAACGCGUCUGUUGACAUUUAGUGUGAUACUGAAAUGUGACACAGGACAGCGGCUCGCUGCUGACCUGUUGUACACCAGUGCCUAAACUCAGUAUCACUGUUAAAUGAUUUGGUCAUUUUAGUCACAGGUCUGACAAAAACACGCCUUAAAUAAGCACUUAAACGCUGCUACAGAUGUGGGGCAUUAUGGAUUUGAUAACAGGUUUGAUAAUUAACAUUAUUUCAAAGCGACAUGGAGCCGCUAAUCCACCAGUCAGAAAACAGUACGAUUGCAUAAUACAAUAUACAUUAGUCAAAACACAAAAUAAGAUCAGACGUGUAUGAAAACUGUUAUUGAGCACUCGACCUAAAAUAUAACCCACCUUUGUAGCAAUGUUUUGGAUCGAGUUACUGUCAAAGUCCAGCACGUGUUACUGAAGUUACUCUUUAGGAAUGAAUGAAGGUAACACAGUCAAUGUCUUUUUCUGUAUCAUCUGUAGCCCUGAAACAUGUGUCUUAUUACUAUUGUUUUUCUAUGUCUUAUUGGCCCUCCCUAUCCUUAGAAAUGAUCUGAUGUUCUUUUAAGCACAAAUAAAUCUGUAUUUUGAUUUAACUUUGCGGUUCAUUCAUUAAAAGCGUUAAUAAGAGCGUUACCUCGGCUGUAGUUGCAGGCGAUAAACUUUAAAGCUAAUAAAGCUACUGGCUUGAAUGGAAGAGACCGCUACAACGCUCAAUAAGGCUUCAACUUACUUAUUUUCUUCAUUGCAGGUGGAUAGUAAGCAUCUUAAUUUCCCAGGGCCAAUGUAUUAUUUCUGAGGUCGUGUUUUAUGAGCCAACAGCAAAUGUUUUUAUCAUGCAUGACAAAAAGCAGUAAAUCCUCACAUUUACAGAGCUAGAGCCACAGCUUGUUCUGUGCCUUGACCACCAGAUGGCGGUAGAACAUCACGUCUCAGUGACUUGACACAUGUUGACAGCAGCAGCAGAGGGAUUCUCAGAGGGAGUCAUGACCUUGUCUAAAAUAUACAAAUCAAC
ensembl:lncRNA